rnacentral:rRNA from 1 species
UACGUAGGGUGCAAGCGUUGUCCGGAAUUAUUGGGCGUAAAGAGCUCGUAGGCGGUUUGUCGCGUCUGCUGUGAAAACUGGGGGCUCAACCUCCAGCCUGCAGUGGGUACGGGCAGACUAGAGUGCGGUAGGGGAGAUUGGAAUUCCUGGUGUAGCAGUGAAAUGCGUAGAGAUCGGGAGGAACAUCCGUGGCGAAGGCGGCCAUCUGGACCAGCACUGACACUGAGGCACGAAAGCGUGGGGAGCAAACAGG